UACGUAGGGUGCGAGCGUUGUCCGGAAUCAUUGGGCGUAAAGAGCUCGUAGGCGGCUUGGUAAGUCGGAUGUGAAACCUCCAGGCUCAACCUGGAGUCGCCAUCCGAUACUGCCAUAGCUAGAGUCCGGUAGGGGCCCACGGAACUCCUGGUGUAGCGGUGAAAUGCGCAGAUAUCGGGAGGAACACCGGUGGCGGAGGCGGUUCUCUGGGCCUUACCUGACGCUGAGGAGCGAAAGCGUGGGGAGCGAACAGG
rnacentral:rRNA from 1 species